GCAGUCGUCGCCGAGUGGUUAAGGCGAUGGACUAGAAAUCCAUCUUCCCGCGUAGGUUCGAAUCCUACCGACUGCG